rnacentral:rRNA from 1 species
UACGGGGGGGGCAAGCGUUGUUCGGAAUUACUGGGCGUAAAGGGCUCGUAGGUGCCCAACUAAGUCAGACGUGAAAUCCCUCGGCUUAACCGGGGAACUGCGUCUGAUACUGGAUGGCUGGAGUUUGGGAGAGGGAUGCGGAAUUCCAGGUGUAGCGGUGAAAUGCGUAGAUAUCUGGAGGAACACCGGUGGCGAAGGCGGCAUCCUGGACCAAUACUGACACUGAGGAGCGAAAGCCAGGGGAGCAAACGGG